rnacentral:rRNA from 1 species
CUAGCCCUAAACGGUGCUUGCUUGCUGUAAGAGGAAUCGACCCCUCUUGUGGCGGAGCUAACGCGUUAAGCAAGCCGCCUGGGAAGUACGGUCGCAAGAUUAAAACUCAAAGAAAUUGACGGGGGCCUGCACAAGCGGUGGAGUAUGUGGCUUAAUUCGAUGCAACGCGAAGAACCUUACCUGGCCUUGACAUGCAUAUAGUAGAAGCCUGAAAGGGUGACGAGGUAGCAAUACCAGUAUGCACAGGUGC